rnacentral:rRNA from 1 species
UACGUAGGGUGCGAGCGUUGUCCGGAAUUAUUGGGCGUAAAGAGCUUGUAGGCGGUUUGUCGCGUCUGCUGUGAAAUCUCAAGGCUCAACCUUGAGCUUGCAGUGGGUACGGGCAGACUAGAGUGUGGUAGGGGAGACUGGAAUUCCUGGUGUAGCGGUGAAAUGCGCAGAUAUCAGGAGGAACACCGGUGGCGAAGGCGGGUCCCUGGGCCGAUACUGACGCUGAGGAGCGAAAGCGUGGGGAGCGAACAGG